rnacentral:rRNA from 1 species
CUACGGGUCGCUCCAGUGGGGAAUAUUGCACAAUGGAGGAAACUCUGAUGCAGCAACGCCGCGUGGAGGAUGACACUUUUCGGAGCGUAAACUCCUUUUAUAUAGGAAGAAGAUGACGGUACUAUAUGAAUAAGCGCCGGCUAACUCCAUGCCAGCAGCCGCGGUAAUACGGAGGGCGCAAGCGUUACUCGGAAUCACUGGGCGUAAAGAGCGUGUAGGCGGAUUAAAAAGUCAGAAGUGAAAUCCUAUAGCUUAACUAUAGAACUGCUUCUGAAACUCUUAAUCUAGAAUGUGGGAGAGGUAGAUGGAAUUUCUGGUGUAGGGGUAAAAUCCGUAGAGAUCAGAAGGAAUACCGAUUGCGAAGGCGAUCUACUAGAACAUUAUUGACGCUGAGACGCGAAAGCGUGGGGAGCAAACAGGAUUAGAUACCCCCGUAGUC